CCUACGGGAGGCAGCAGUAGGGAAUAUUGCGCAAUGGGGGAAACCCUGACGCAGCAAUGCCACGUGAGUGAGGAAUGCCUUCGGGUUGUAAAGCUCUGUCCUAUAAGAAGAAUUGCAUUAUGGUUAAUACCCAUAGUGUUUGACGGUACUAUAGAAGAAAGCACCGGCUAACUCCGUGCCAGCAGCCGCGGUAAUACGGAGGGUGCAAGCGUUGUUCGGAUUUACUGGGCGUAAAGCGCGCGCAGGCGGAUUAUCAAGUCAGAUGUGAAAUCUCGGGGCUUAACCCCGAAACUGCGUCUGAAACUGGUAGUCUAGAAUCUCAUAGGGGGUAGGGGAAUUUCACGUGUAGGGGUAAAAUCCGUAGAGAUGUGAAGGAACACCGGUGGCGAAGGCGCCUACCUGGAUGAGUAUUGACGCUGAGGCGCGAAAGCGUGGGGAGCAAACAGGAUUAGAUACCCUGGUAGUCCACGCCGUAAACGAUGAGUACUAGCCCUUGGAGGUAUUGACCCCUUCAGGAGCGCAGCUAACGCAUUAAGUACUCCGCCUGGGAAGUACGGUCGCAAGACUAAAACUCAAAGGAAUUGACGGA
rnacentral:rRNA from 1 species